rnacentral:rRNA from 1 species
UACGUAGGUGGCAAGCGUUGUCCGGAUUUAUUGGGCGUAAAGCGCGCGCAGGCGGUCCUUUAAGUCUGAUGUGAAAUCUUGCGGCUCAACCGCAAGCGGUCAUUGGAAACUGGGGGACUUGAGUACAGAAGAGGAAAGUGGAAUUCCACGUGUAGCGGUGAAAUGCGUAGAGAUGUGGAGGAACACCAGUGGCGGAGGCGACUUUCCGGUCUGUAACUGACGCUGAGGCGCGAAAGCGUGGGGAGCAAACAGG